GGUGGCUCAGAGGUAGAGCGCUUGCUUCACAUGCAUGAGGGCCUGGGUUCAAUUCCUCAGCACCA
rfam:Dipodomys ordii contig_36107, whole genome shotgun sequence.